rnacentral:rRNA from 1 species
ACGGGUGAGUAACACGUGGGUGAUCUGCCCAGCACUUUGGGAUAAGCCUGGGAAACUGGGUCUAAUACCGAAUAUGACCACGCUCUUCAUGGGGUGUGGUGGAAAGCUUUUGCGGUGUGGGAUGGGCCCGCGGCCUAUCAGCUUGUUGGUGGGGUAAUGGCAUACCAAGGUGACCACAGGUAACCAGCCUGAGAGGGUGACCGGACACACUGGGACUGAGAUACCGCCCAGACUCCUACGGGAGGUUUCAGUGGGGAAUAUUGCCCUGUGGGAGCAAGCCUGAUGCAACGACGCCGCGCAAGGGAUGACGGCCUUCUUUUUGUAAACCUCUUUCACCGAGGACGAAUCGCAAAUGACCGUCCCUGGAGAAUAAGCACCCGCCAACUACGUGCCAGCAGCCGCGGUAAUACUUAGGGUGCAAGCGUUGUCCGGAAUUACUGGGCGUAUUUAGCUCGUAGGUGGUUUGUCCCGUUGUUCAUGAAAACUCACAGCUUAACUGUGGCCGUGCUGGCGAUACGGGCGGACUAAAGUACUGUCCGGUAGACUGGAAUUCCGCGUGUAGCUCUGAAAUGCCCACA